UGAGUAACACGUAUCCAACCUGCCGUCUACUCUUGGACAGCCUUCUGAAAGGAAGAUUAAUACAAGAUGGCAUCAUGAGUCCGCAUGUUCACAUGAUUAAAGGUAUUCCGGUAGACGAUGGGGAUGCGUUCCAUUAGAUAGUAGGCGGGGUAACGGCCCACCUAGUCAACGAUGGAUAGGGGUUCUGAGAGGAAGGUCCCCCACAUUGGAACUGAGACACGGUCCAA
rnacentral:rRNA from 1 species